GAUGAACGCUAGCGGGAGGCUUAACACAUGCAAGUCGAGGGGUAAAUGGUAGCAAUACUAUGAGACCGGCGGACGGGUGCGUAACGCGUAUGCAACAUACCUUGUGCAGGGGGAUAGCCCGUGGAAACGCGGAUUAAUAUUCCAUAGUCCAGCUAUAUCGCAUGGUAUAGUUGGUAAAGAUUUAUCGGCACAAGUUUGGCAUGCGUCUGAUUAGCUUGUUGGUAGGGUAACGGCCUACCAGGGCUACGAUCAGUAGGGGUUCUGAGAGGAUUAACCCCCACACUGGUACUGAGACACGGACCAGACUCCUACGGGAGGCAGCAGUGAGGAAUAUUGGUCAAUGGGCGGAAGCCUGAACCAGCCAUCCCGCGUGAAGGAAGACAGCCUUACGGGUUGUAAACUUCUUUUCUGUCAGAAGAAUAAGCUUGUCGAGACGAGUGAUGCCGGUAUGACAGGAAUAAGCAUCGGCUAACUCCGUG
rnacentral:rRNA from 1 species